UUCAAUACACAGGUAAGUAUUCACAGGGCUGGGCUGUUAAUGUACAGGGGUUCUAGCUCUCAGGUAAAUACAGUGUUCGAUACACAGGUGGGUAUUCACAGGGCUGGGCUGUUAGCGUGCAGGGGUUCUAGCUCUCAGGUAAGUACAGUGUUCGAUACACAGGUAAGUAUUCACAGGGCUGAGCUGUUAGCGUGCAGGGGUUCUAGCUCUCAAUGUAAGUACAGUGUUCCAUACACAGGUAAGUAUUCACAGGGCUGAGCUGUUAGCGUGCAGGGGUUCUAGCUCUCAAUGUAAGUACAGUGUUCCAUACACAGGUAAGUAUUCACAGGGCUGAGCUGUUAGCGUGCAGGGGUUCUAGCUCUCAAUGUAAGUACAGUGUUCCAUACACAGGUGAGUAUUCACAGGGCUGGGCUGUUAAUGCGCUACUCACCACUGAAGAUAUUCAGAGGUCUGUAUUCCAAGCAGAUACGGGUUUAGUCGAUGACUGACGGCUGGUGGGCCUUACAGAUGAAACUGCAAACAAUACUGGGCUUCCCGCCCAGCUUGACAAGGGGGCACACGGGGGAGGAUCGGCUGUUGUCCUUCGCUUCCCUCGUCAAAUAAACAGCACAGACGACACGCACAAGGCCGGUGGUUGCCGACAGGGCCAAGGACACAACGUCACAUGGAUAAAAAAAGGAUAAGGCUUUGAUUUAAAAGCUUACAGGGAUUGCUGCGUGGGCAACGACAUCCAACCUCCUCCAGAGGCGCCUCCAACACGUCCGAGCUCCAGCUUACUUAAGGUAAAGACUGUGGUUGCCACCAAUACACUACUCCUCUCCGUCAGGCCUCUUCCUACGACCAGGGACACAACCACGGACAAACACCACACACCACAAAGGCACUACAAUUCUUCUUGUGUGUACACUUCAAUAUAGCAGCACUCACCACACUCCACACACUCAGUGAAAGAAGAUCGGUGGUGUAUUCCCGUUUCGGGCUCAGAGUCCUGACAGGGCGGGUCAGAUGGACAAAGGCAGGAGGGCAGACCACAGCAGGCAGAUAUAUCGUACACCGGAGUCUCUCCGUCUUUCCCAGCGAUCUCCA